rnacentral:rRNA from 1 species
AUUGAACGCUGGCGGCACGCCUAACACAUGCACGUCGAACGAGUGGCGGACGGGUGAGUAAUGUCUGGGAAACUGCCCGAUGGAGGGGGAUAACUACUGGAAACGGUAGCUAAUACCGCAUACCAUCGGAUGUGCCCAGAUGGGAUUAGCUAGUAGGUGGGGUCACGGCUCACCUAGGCGACGAUCCCUAGCUGGUCUGAGAGGAUGACCAGACACAUGGGAACUGAGACACGGUCCAGACUCCUACGGGAGGCAGCAGUGGGGAAUAUGGCACAAUGGGCGCAAGCAUGAUGCAGCCAUGCGGAGUGUAUGAAGAAGGCCUUCGGGUUGUAAAGUACUUUCAGUGGGGAGGCGUUACCCGCAGAAGAAGCACCGGCUAACUCCGUGCCAGCAGCCGCGGUAAUUC